rnacentral:rRNA from 1 species
UACGGAGGGGGCUAGCGUUGUUCGGAAUUACUGGGCGUAAAGCGCACGUAGGCGGCUUUGUAAGUUAGAGGUGAAAGCCCGGGGCUCAACCCCGGAACUGCCUUUGAUACUGGGUAUCUCGAGUCCGGAAGAGGUGAGUGGAAUUCCGAGUGUAGAGGUGAAAUUCGUAGAUAUUCGGAAGAACACCAGUGGCGAAGGCGACUUACUGGACACAUAUUGACGCUGAGGUGCGAAAGCGUGGGGAGCAAACAGG